AUUUUUUGGACCAUAAGUCAUAUCUAGGUUUUAGAGGAAGAAAAGAGGAAAACAAAUUUUGAGGCAAAAAAUGUGGUAAAAUAUUUAAUAACAUGAAUAACCAUAUUUCACCAACGUAAAUGUAAGAGAACUCAACAGCAGCAUUAACAGCCAUCAUUCCUCCCAAAUUUUGGGGGUAGAGUGCAUUUUAUAGUUUGAAAACUAUGAUAGCUUCAGUGGAAUUCCU